AUUGAACGCUGGCGGCAUGCUUUACACAUGCAAGUCGAACGGCAGCGCGGGCUUCGGCCUGGCGGCGAGUGGCGAACGGGUGAGUAAUACAUCGGAACGUGCCCAGUAGUGGGGGAUAGCUCGGCGAAAGCCGGAUUAAUACCGCAUACGACCUGAGGGUGAAAGCGGGGGAUCUUCGGACCUCGCGCUAUUGGAGCGGCCGAUGGCAGAUUAGCUAGUUGGUGGGGUAAAGGCCUACCAAGGCGACGAUCUGUAGCUGGUCUGAGAGGACGACCAGCCACAGGGGGACUGAGACACGGCCCCACCCCCUACGGGGGGCAGCGGGGGGGAAUUUCGGAAAAGGGGGGAAAGCCUGACCCAGCAAGGCCGGGUGGGGGAUGAAGGCCUUCGGGUUGAAAAGCCCUUUUGGGGGGAACAAAAGGGACUGGCCCAAACCCACGGUUCGAUGGCGGCCCCCGAAAAAAAAGCACCGGCUAACCACGU
rnacentral:rRNA from 1 species